UACGUAGGGUGCGAGCGUUAAUCGGCAUUACUGGGCGUAAAGCGUGCGCAGGCGGCGCCGCAAGUCAGGCGUGAAAUCCCCGAGCUUAACUUGGGAAUGGCGCUUGAAACUACGGUGCUGGAGUGUGGCAGAGGGAGGUGGAAUUCCACGUGUAGCGGUGAAAUGCGUAGAGAUGUGGAGGAACACCGAUGGCGAAGGCAGCCUCCUGGGCCAACACUGACGCUCAUGCACGAAAGCGUGGGGAGCAAACAGG
rnacentral:rRNA from 1 species